AUCCAGUUGAUGAGUCCUAAAUAAAACGAAAUGCGAGUCCUGGAU
rfam:Schistosoma mattheei strain Denwood, Zambia genome assembly, scaffold: SMTD_scaffold0003339